rnacentral:lncRNA from 1 species
ACUAGAGCCAAAUCUAUCUCAAAAGUUUAGGUCAUUUUUUUUCCUUUUUGAUAGUAUUCAAUGAGAAAUAACACUUAAAAUAAAACUUUUUCCAUGAGGAAGCUACAGUAAUUAUCCAC